rnacentral:misc_RNA from 1 species
GAUGAAGAACGCAGUGAAAUGCGAUACGUAAUGUGAAUUGCAGAAUUCAGUGAAUCAUCGAAUCUUUGAACGCACAUUGCGCCCCCUGGUAUUCCGGGGGGCAUGCCUGUCCGAGCGUCAUUACAACCCUCAAGCUCAGCUUGGUGUUGGGCCCCGCCGCCCCGGCGGGCCCUAAAGUCAGUGGCGGUGCCGUCCGGCUCCGAGCGUAGUAAUUCUUCUCGCUCUGGAGGUCCGGUCGUGUGCUCGCCAGCAACCCCCAAUUUUUUUCAGGUUGACCUCGGAUCAGGUAGGGAUACCCGCUGAACUUAAGCAUAUCAAUAAGCGGAGGA